CCCGCAACUGCGUCGCCCAACUCGAAGCAUCCCCGCUGGCCCGCACCGACUCCCACUGCGAUGACCAGUAGAGGCGCCGCCGGGGACCGGAGCCGAUGAAGGCGACGCCGCCGCAGAGGCGGAGGGGCCCGCGCCUGGUGCUGCUCGCGCUCGUCCUCUGCUCCUGCUCGUGCCCCUCGCCUUCAUCUUCGACCGCGCCCCCACCGGCUACGUGACCACGGACGAGCGGCGCCGACAGGAGGUCGUCUUUCAUUCAUUCGAUCCCGUGGAGCCGAUUGGUGGCGGUGGUGGCGGUGGCGCUGUCGAUCCAGUCCCUGUCAAACGAGCGAUAUAGGAUGCACCCAGGAAGAUUUCGAAUGGCAGCAGUGGGGUGCCGCCGCCGCAGCAUAA